CUGACGUGGAUAUCCAGGGUGAUCAUGGAAAGUGUGUCGAGAAUAAUCACGCAAGGUCAUCCAGUAUUGCCUCAUGAGCUGCCCAUCCUUCUUCCUCACCAAGGGCUUUGCAUCUGGCACAGGCUCAACCAUGACCGCUCGUGUACCCCAAGCCGUUACAAUAUUGCGAUGGUUGAAACGGACACUGACCCCGGAAUCCCAAGAUUUCCAGGGGAUAACAUAUGGCUUUUCCCAUUUUUUCCCACCCAUCAUCUUGUCCAGAACGAAGGAACAGCUCAAAUGCCUCUAUUAACUGAUCUCUCCAUGUCCUUUUGUUGAGCUUUGCACCAAGAGCUAAGAGUUUGAUAUCUAUACCUUUUGCCUUCGCCAUGUGCCAUUGCAUUGCUUCGAUAGUUUUCCCAAGAAGGGUUGCAAUGUCAAUUAUGCCCUUACAUCUUACAACAUUUGGCGCACCAAGACCAUCACUGGUAUCGCCAGACAUUGUAAAAGGUAUAACACCCAAUCGCUCGCCCCGCAGGAGCGCAGGAUCAACUGAGAAGCUCUCAAAGGCGAGGCGAACUGGAUGGAAGUCAGUAUCGACGUGCAAAGAGUCCAUGAUAGAGUCUAGAGGGGUUUCGUAAACACCCAAAGGGGUUGUGUUCAAAGCAGGAAGUUGAAGCGAAGCGAGAGGCAUGCAAAACGGAAUUUCGUCCCAGUC
rnacentral:sRNA from 1 species